UACGGAGGGUGCAAGCGUUAUCCGGAUUUACUGGGUUUAAAGGGUGCGUAGGUGGGUUGGGAAGUCAGUGGUGAAAUACUUUCGCUUAACGAAGGAACUGCCAUUGACACUAUCAAUCUUGAAUGUAGUGGAGGUAGGCGGAAUGCGUCAUGUAGCGGUGAAAUGCUUAGAUAUGACGCAGAACACCAAUUGCGAAGGCAGCUUGCUACACUACUAUUGACACUGAGGCACGAAAGCGUGGGGAUCAAACAGG
rnacentral:rRNA from 1 species